AGGCCAUAUCACGCUGAAUACAGCGGUUUUCGUCCGAUCACCGAAGUUACCGAAGUUAAGCAACGUCAACCCUGUUCAGUACUUGGAUGGGUAACCGCUUGGGAAUACCAGGUGCUGUAAG